rnacentral:rRNA from 1 species
GCUCCUCGGGUGACGAGUGGCGGACGGGUGAGUAAUGUCUGGGAAACUGCCCGAUGGAGGGGGAUAACUACUGGAAACGGUAGCUAAUACCGCAUAACGUCGCAAGACCAAAGUGGGGGACCUUCGGGCCUCACACCAUCGGAUGUGCCCAGAUGGGAUUAGCUUGUAGGCGGGGUAACGGCCCACCUAGGCGACGAUCCCUAGCUGGUCUGAGAGGAUGACCAGCCACACUGGAACUGAGACACGGUCCAGACUCCUACGGGAGGCAGCAGUGGGGAAUAUUGCACAAUGGGCGCAAGCCUGAUGCAGCCAUGCCGCGUGUAUGAAGAAGGCCUUCGGGUUGUAAAGUACUUUCAGCGGGGAGGAAGGUGCUGAGGUUAAUAACCUCAGCAAUUGACGUUACCCGCAGAAGAAGCACCGGCUAACUCCGUGCCAGCAGCCGCGGUAAUACGGAGGGUGCAAGCGUUAAUCGGAAUUACUGGGCGUAAAGCGCACGCAGGCGGUCUGUUAAGUCAGAUGUG